rnacentral:rRNA from 2 species
GAGAUCCAGCAGAGGGCAAGUCUGUGCCAGCAGCCGCGGUAAUUCCAGCUCUGUAAGCGUAUACCAAAGUUGUUGCAGUUAAAACGCUCGUAGUCGGACUUUGGCAAUUCCGGAUGUGUGCGCGUCGUGCGCGCACUUUGCAGGGGUUGCUUUUGUGGGUAUGCGUGGGAUGAUGCGACUUUAUUGUCGAACGUCCCUACGCAACCACCUUUUACUGUGAGAAAAUUAGAGUGUUCAAAGCAGGCAAUUGCCGUGAAUAUAUUAGCAUGGAAUAAUAGAAUAGGACUCGGUCUUAUUUUGUUGGUUUGUUAGGGCUGAGUAAUGAUUAAGAGGGACAGUUGGGGGCAUUUGUAUUCAGGCGCUAGAGGUGAAAUUCUUAGAUUGCCGGAAGACAAACUGCUGCGAAAGCGUCUGCCAAGGAUGUUUUCAUUGAUCAAGAACGAAAGUAAGGGGAUCGAAGACGAUCAGAUACCGUCGUAGUCUUUACUAUAAACGAUGAGGACUGGGGAUCGGGCGAGGAAUAUCGAUGACCCGCCCGGCACCCUCCGGGAAACCAAAGUGUUUGCUUUCUGGGGGGAGUAUGGUCGCAAGGCUGAAACUUAAAGGAAUUGACGGAAGGGCAUCACCGGGUGUGGAGCCUGCGGCUUAAUUUGACUCAACACGGGAAAACUUACCAGGUCAGGACAUAGUGAGGAUUGACAGAUUGAGAGCUCUUUCUUGAUUCUAUGGUUGGUGGUGCAUGGCCGUUCUUAGUUGGUGGAGUGAUUUGUCUGGUUAAUUCCGUUAACGAGCGAGACCUGGGCGUGCUAAAUAGGGGCUACUACCAUUUUGGUAGUACGUUUUCCCCUUCUUAGACGGACUGUGGGCGUCUAGUCCACGGAAGCUCCAGGCAAUAACAGGUCUGAGAUGCCCUUAGAUGUUCUGGGCCGCACGCGUGCUACACUGAGUGGAUCAGCGGGUCAGGUUGCACGAAAGUGUUUCCUAAUCUUUAAAUCCGCUCGUGAUGGGGAUUGACGGUUGCAAUUUUCCGUCAUGAACGAGGAAUACCUUGUAAGCGCGGGUCAUCAUCCCGCGCUGAAUACGUCCCUGCCCUUUGUACACACCGCCCGUCGCUCCUACCGAUUGAGUGGUCCGGUGAGGCUUUGGGAUUGCGAUGGAAAGAGCGUCUCGCUCGUUCUGUCGUGAGAACUCAGUCGAACCUUAUCAUUUAGAGGAA